GUGGAAGUGGAGAGACCAUUAAGCCCGGCGGCGCCGCUGAACUAAACAAGAUCUGAUCGGGAAUAGGUCGUAGCUGUUAUGAUUGUAAUUUUUGGUUUGUAUGUGAAACCUUACACACAUCUGGAGAUCGUCGCACAAUGCAUUCGAUUGAUUGAUAGCAAUAUGAUUUAUCCUCUCAUGUUCUUAAUUUAACAAUUGGAACAUUUUCUUAGCGGGUAUCACUACCUCGCUUCCAUUACACAGAUAUUACAACUCCCACAAGAAGGAUAUGAUAUUCUGUUUAAUCAUUUUUGUAUUUGUUCUGCAAAUCUUAUGCACUUGAGAAUCCGCUGGAUGGAGAUGACAAAUGCCAGAGAAAUUGAUCAAGAUCUCUUAAAGAAAAUGACUCUCUAAAAAGUCACUCUGGAUGACUUAUCUUCUUAAUUGAUAUGUAUUGCCCAAUUUGUGUGAUGUUAUCUAAACUAGUUGGUGAAUAGAUAUUAUUUGCGUACAUACUAUAUGCUUACCAGGAAUUUUAUAUGUCACAAAAUUUCUAUUUCAAACAGUAGUUGUGUUGCUAGCUGGUGAUGUAAUUUAAGUUCAGGGCAUGAAGCCGAUUGUACGAAAUUUCUAUUUCAAAUGUAUAAAUUAGCGUAUGCAAGUGAUAGUGUAAAA